rnacentral:rRNA from 1 species
AGGACGAACGCUGGCGGCGUGCUUAACACAUGCAAGUCGAGCGGAAAGGCCCUUCGGGGUACUCGAGCGGCGAACAGGUGAGUAACACGUGAGCAACCUGCCCUUAGCUUCGGGAUAGCUCCGGGAAACCGGAAUUAAUACCGAAUAUGACUGCGGCUGACAUCAGCCACGGUGGAAAGUUUUUCGGCUAGGGAUGGACUCGCGGCCUAUCAGCUAGUUGGUGAGGUAACGGCCCACCAAGGCGACGACGGGGUA